rnacentral:rRNA from 1 species
AGAGUUUGAUCCUGGCUCAGGACGAACGCUGGCGGCGUGCCUAAUACAUGCAAGUCGAACGAAGCUUUCUUUCACCGAAUGCUUGCAUUCACCGAAAGAAGCUUAGUGGCGAACGGGUGAGUAACACGUAGGCAACCUGCCCAAAAGAGGGGGAUAACACUUGGAAACAGGUGCUAAUACCGCAUAACCAUGAACACCGCAUGAUGUUCGUGUAAAAGACGGCUUUUGCUGUCACUUUUGGAUGGGCCUGCGGCGUAUUAACUUGUUGGUGGGGUAACGGCCUACCAAGGUGAUGAUACGUAGCCGAACUGAGAGGUUGAUCGGCCACAUUGGGACUGAGACACGGCCCAAACUCCUACGGGAGGCAGCAGUAGGGAAUCUUCCACAAUGGACGAAAGUCUGAUGGAGCAACGCCGCGUGAAUGAAGAAGGCCUUCGGGUCGUAAAAUUCUGUUGUCAGAGAAGAAUGUGCGUGAGAGUAACUGUUCACGUAUUGACGGUAUCUGACCAGAAAGCCACGGCUAACUACGUGCCAGCAGCCGCGGUAAUACGUAGGUGGCAAGCGUUGUCCGGAUUUAUUGGGCGUAAAGGGAACGCAGGCGGUCUUUUAAGUCUGAUGUGAAAGCCUUCGGCUUAACCGAAGUAGUGCAUUGGAAACUGGAAGACUUGAGUGCAGAAGAGGAGAGUGGAACUCCAUGUGUAGCGGUGAAAUGCGUAGAUAUAUGGAAGAACACCAGUGGCGAAAGCGGCUCUCUGGUCUGUAACUGACGCUGAGGUUCGAAAGCGUGGGUAGCAAACAGGAUUAGAUACCCUGGUAGUCCACGCCGUAAACGAUGAGUGCUAAGUGUUGGAGGGUUUCCGCCCUUCAGUGCUGCAGCUAACGCAUUAAGCACUCCGCCUGGGGAGUACGGUCGCAAGACUGAAACUCAAAGGAAUUGACGGGGGCCCGCACAAGCGGUGGAGCAUGUGGUUUAAUUCGAAGCAACGCGAAGAACCUUACCAGGUCUUGACAUCUUCUGACAAUUCCAGAGAUGGAACGUUCCCUUCGGGGACAGAAUGACAGGUGGUGCAUGGUUGUCGUCAGCUCGUGUCGUGAGAUGUUGGGUUAAGUCCCGCAACGAGCGCAACCCUUAUUGUCAGUUGCCAUCAUUAAGUUGGGCACUCUGGCGAGACUGCCGGUGACAAACCGGAGGAAGGUGGGGAUGACGUCAAAUCAUCAUGCCCCUUAUGACCUGGGCUACACACGUGCUACAAUGGACGGUACAACGAGUCGCUAACUCGCGAGGGCAAGCUAAUCUCUUAAAGCCGUUCUCAGUUCGGAUUGCAGGCUGCAACUCGCCUGCAUGAAGUCGGAAUCGCUAGUAAUCGCGAAUCAGCAUGUCGCGGUGAAUACGUUCCCGGGCCUUGUACCCACCGCCCGUCACACCAUGAGAGUUUGUAACACCCAAAGUCGGUGGGGUAACCUUUUGGAGCCAGCCGCCUAAGGUGGGACAGAUGAUUGGGGUGAAGUCGAAACAAGGUA